rnacentral:rRNA from 1 species
UGAGGAAUAUUGGUCAAUGGGCGCAAGCCUGAACCAGCCAUCCCGCGUGAAGGAAGAAGGCCCUAUGGGUUGUAAACUUCUUUUCCAGGGGGUGAAUAAUUCCGAUGUAUCGGGAGAUGACGGUACCCUGGGAAUAAGCAUCGGCUAACUCCGUGCCAGCAGCCGCGGUAAUACGGAGGAUGCGAGCGUUAUCUGGAUUUAUUGGGUUUAAAGGGUGCGUAGGCGGAACAAUAAGUCAGUGGUGAAAGACUGCAGCUUAACUGUAGACUUGCCGUUGAUACUGUUGAUCUUGAGUAUGGUCAAGGCAGGCGGAAUGUGUAAUGUAGCGGUGAAAUGCUUAGAUAUUACACAGAACACCGAUUGCGAAGGCAGCUUGCUGGGCCAUUACUGACGCUGAUGCACGAAAGCGUGGGGAUCGAACAG